CAACGAGUCAGUAAGCAAUAGGGCAGCUUGGUACUAAAGUAAGAUCGUGGCUAUGGUAAACCUGAGCUGGCAGGUCUUGAACUCUCAGAGGCGAUCUAUGGAGGGAAGGUGGGAGAGUUCGCAGACGCUGACUAAGAAGCCCUAGGAUGCUAUCAUGAGACUUUAGGAAUGGGAGUGGAAUACUAUGAUUUAAAGUGACAAGUUGACAAGGCCUGGAUUUGUGGUGGUUAAUCUUCAUUGUUAACUUGGUGGGGAUUUAAAAUCGUCUGGAUGGGACAUUUAGAAACAUCUGGACAUGUCUGCAAGGGUGUGUCCCGAGAGGAUUAACUGAACAGAGAAGACCUGCUUGCCGAGGAAAAUCCUCUGUAUCCUGUGAGCAAUGUCUGCCUCAACCUCACGGUUCCAUCCUGUACAGCAUCUGUGCGCCUUGGCGGAGCUGGAGCCAAGGAUUGCUGCACCUGCCACAGGUCACUGUGAAGCUCCCUCCUUCCUCCUCCUGCUGGUACUCCCUCCUCCUGCUGGUACUCCCUCCUCCUGCCCGCUCUCCACUCAGCUGGCUGUGUUUAUAUACUGUGGCAAAUAUAAGUUGGAGAUGGUCAUUUAGCUGUAAUAAAGAUCCCUGGGUCUUGCAAAUA